rnacentral:rRNA from 1 species
UGGGGAAUCUUGCACAAUGGGGGCAACCCUGAUGCAGCGACGCCGCGUGAGCGAUGAAGCCCUUCGGGGCGUAAAGCUCCUUCGACCGGAACGAUAAUGACGGUACCGGGAGAAGAAGCUGCGGCUAACUACGUGCCAGCAGCCGCGGUAAUACGUAGGCAGCAAGCGUUGUUCGGAGUUACUGGGCGUAAAGAGUGCGUAGGCGGUUUUCUAAGUUCGGUGUGAAAUCUCCCGGCUUAACUGGGAGGGUGCGCCGAAGACUGGGAAGCUGGAGUGUGGGAAAGGCAGGCGGAAUUCCUGGUGUAGCGGUGAAAUGCGUAGAUAUCAGGAGGAACACCGGCGGUGUAGACGGCUUGCUAGACCAUAACUGACGCUGAGGCACGAAAGCGUGGGUAGCAAAC